rnacentral:misc_RNA from 1 species
UUGGCAACCCCAACGGCUUCUUGAGAUGUCGAGCUCUCGAAGACUGUAGGCAUGGCGAAUAAGACGAGCAGUGGAGUUAUCAUCCAUCUUCCAACCAGCAAAGCUCAAACUCUUUCUCCUACCAAGAGACAGCUUAACUCCUUCCUUCCAUUUCCUACAUACGCCGCACGCCUGAGCCAAAUCGGUGAAGGAGGUGAUCAUGGCAAAAAUAUGAGCCAGUAGGUCAAUCGGCAAGCGAUCAAUCUCCGGCUCCAACUCCAUCCCUACCGACCACAAAGCAGCCGAAUCCAUCCCGAUCCUCCGCUGUCCACUUGGAAUAUGAAUUUGGAAAAAGAAG